UGUCAGCUCCCAUGUUUGGAGUUCCUCAAUGUCAGUCGUGCUCCAGCAAUCAAGCGCGUUGGGCCUGAAUUCGUGCAGCCCUACAGUGCCGUCACCAUGCUUCAAUGGGAGGAGUGGAACUGGGAGGAGGAAGUGCAAGCCAUGCCCGUCUUGGAGGUGCUUUUAAUCCAAAGAUGCAAAUUGAGGUGUCUUCCUCCCGGUCUUUCCACUCAUGCAAGGACUUUGAGAAAAUUAAGCACAUACAACGUCCAACGCCUCCACUCUCUAGAUAAUUUUGCUUUUGUAGUUGAGCUCACAGUGGACAACAUACCCGAACUGACUAGGAUCUCCAAUCUCCCCAAAUUGCAAAAGCUUGAGAUCAACUGCUGCCGAAAGCUCGAGUCACUGCAGAAAAUGACUGCACUCCGGAGACUCAUGCUGACAAUUCAGCACAGUGAGAAACAACUCCCACUGUACCUGCAAACUGUACAGCCAAGCCAUUUGCUGCUGGAUUGCAGCCCAGAAAUACUCACCUCCAUUUCUGUUGGAAAAUUUGGCCCUGAGUUUGACAAGUUCAGCCAUAUUGAGAAAGUCGAGGCUUAUUCAAAGGAUGGAGACAAUGUGAAGAAAUGGUAUGUGUAGACAAGCGAGCCGUACAACAUGAGUAGAAACAUGGAGACACAUCUGCAGGAUCUAUCAGUGGAUGACGAAGAAUAGGUCGUAGCUCCUGGAGCGGAAAGGAGACAAACAUACUCAAAACAUGCAUGAGUGAUUUUAAUCUGUGGUCAAGGGUGAAAGAAGGUCAUGGAUGUCAUUGCAAGUCCUUUUCCCGAUUAUUUGAGGAAAAGAAACUCCGAUAAUGAACUGUAAGGAAGUGGAAUGAAAGGUUUCUUCUCCCUCCUCCAGCUGGUUAAUAUCAAGUGUCAGUGUGCGUGUAUGCAACUCCAGUCUCAGCGGUGUGAAGAGAAAUUCUCUCCGUCACAUUGUACUCCAUAAUGGUUCUAAAUCCACACUAUAGAAAGACCAUGGUGCUAUGUAAAACGUGGAGACUCCGUUUACACUAUGAUUAAUUUGUAAGAUAACAAAAGUUGCGUUCUAAGCUUGCCAACAUUGCGUGUCAAAAUAAGAUGUUUGUUUAUGCCGUGACGAACAAUGUCAAUUGUGAUUGGAAAUAUUUAGUUCUUGCCUUCCGAUACGUAGCUUCGACUCCUAACCUGAAAGGUGGCAAACCAAACAAGCACAUA